AUUGAACGCUGGCGGCAGGCCUAACACAUGCAAGUCGAGCGAGCAGCGGACGGGUGAGUAAUGUAUGGGGACUGCCCGAUAGAGGGGGAUAACGACUGGAAACGGUGGCUAAUACCGCAUACUAUCGGAUAACCGAUAUGGGAUUAGCUAGUAGGUGGGGUAAAGGCUCACCAAGGCGACGAUCUCUAGCUGGUCUGAGAGGAUGAUCAGCCACACUGGGACUGAGACACGGCCCAGACUCCUACGGAGGCAGCAGUGGGGAAUAUUGCACAAUGGGCGCAAGCCUGAUGGAGCCAUGCCGCGUGUGUGAAGAAGGCCUUAGGGUUGUAAAGUACUUUCAGCGGGGAGGCGUUACCCGACGAGGAAGCCACGGCUAACUCCGUGCCAGCAGCCGCGGUAAUUC
rnacentral:rRNA from 1 species